UUUACGAGGCGACUGGAUGCGGUAGUUGCGACAGUACGAGAGACUGGGAGGCAGAGUCUCUUUGUACCCUUUCCAUUUCAGAGGGAGAGAAAGUGGAAGGACGGCCACAGAAACGGACAGGGGAGGUCGGUGCGUAGGACAGUGGAGGACUACUGCACAUGUGUGACAGGAAGUUGGCAGGCACAGAGGCAUUAUCUACACCUACGAAUUCUCCACAGACAAGCUGGUGGCAGAGAGCGUCCUUCCUAUCUGCUGCUCCUCUUACAACGAAGUGGUCGGCUACAGCUACAACAUUGGCCUUGUGGUCCCCUAUGACAACAUCUAGGCAGGGUGGGAAGAAGGGAAGUCCAGCUGGGUUGGACCCUGGAGAAGGAGAACCCCAAGGAUGGCGUUCCUGCAGACCUCUUUGGAGGGCUCGGAAGCCACGGGUUGGCCAAGCAGGCAGCAGAAGAAGGGGGGACACAUGGGGGUCUCCCCAAAGCUUUAAUAACAGUGCUGUAGGACCGAAGAAGAGAUGGUGGGUAACAGGAGCCAUGAUAGAUAGGCAAGAAUCAGGAGAAGAUAAUAAAAGCUUUAGCCCAUAAAUCAGGAGGUAGUAAGACAGGUUGUAGCCCACGUGUGCAGAGACCAUUCUGGUGGAAGGGAGGGCUUCCAUUCCUUGCACCUAGCUGAAAUAGUUCAGUGCUGCCUUUCUGGAACAGGCGCCGACGCUACCUGCAACAUCUGGAGAUCUUAAGAAGAAGACGAGACUUUGGGAGCGUUUUUCUUGUGGAUUUUGGCACAGCAACCUGAUCGACCGAAAUGUCAUCGAUUACUUUAUUCCCUUCCUGCCUCUCGAAAUCAGCCAUGUGAAAAUGUGCAUCAGGGCUGAAUUGGAAUUGCGGGGCCACCCCAUCAAUGAAGCCGUGGUCUCACGGGUGGCCGAUGAGAUGACCUACUUCCCCAAAGAGGAGCGAAUCUAUUCCGACAAAGGGUGCAAGACAGUUUACACAAAAUUAGAUUUCUAUUACAACGUCUAAAAUUGUUUUCUGCUUGCAACUUCAGAGAAGGGGGGAAAAAAACGAACCUAUUCAGAGGACCCAAAGGAAAAACCAAAUCACUUUCUUUCUCCCCCCCCCCCAGAUUUUAACCUAUGUAAAUAGGAUGACUAAUUGAGAUUGGGGAAGAGCUGGGAUCUCUAAAAUUGUGGCCUGUUUGUUAAGAACACAGUUUUGAGGUCCAUCUGUUGCAAAGUUGUUUUAAUCAUGACUGCAUUUUGGUCCAUGACACAAGCUCUUUAGGGACCACGUCCAUCUGCCUGGAAGUAAAAACGGUUCUAAUUAGAUAACAGUUGAUUAUGAAAAGUUGUGGGGUUGUUUUUUGGGGGGGAAACAUUUGUGACUCCUAAGAAAUGAAGGAAUGUUUUUGCAUCUGUGCAUUUUUAAAAAAAUAAUUUUGUACAAAUUAGCAGCUUGAAUCUUUCUGUUUUCUUUGGGUAUCCUUCGAGCUGCUUUUAAAGAGCCUUAUUGUGUAUCCAGACCAGUGUUGGUGCUAAAAAAAUAAUAAUAAUCAGAAAAGUGAUCUAUGGCUGCCAAAAUUGUCAAGCAACAAAAUAUUUGACUGUAUUUCAGGGAGAUUUUUUUUUUUUUUUUUUUUUUUUUUGUAAUUUUGGAAUAAAACGCAACUGGCCAUCUUAACUCCUGCCUGGGCUGAACAAGACAUAUUCCAAGUAUUUUGAGAAUCAUCUGCAAUUCCUUGAAGCAAGAACUUAUCAGAACCAAUUCAGAAAGCGUUGCCUUUGUGCCAAACCCAGAAUUUGUCAGAAUAUUUUGAUAUUGUGGUCUCUCUGCAAUCACUUGCAAAAUAUUCCUUUCCUCUACCCAGCCAAAUAAAAUGGCUUAGUGAAGCAGCUUUCCUUAACAAGAAGGUAUUUGUCUCUUAACAGUGGUUUGUUGAACAGUGCUGGAAUAUUUUUCUUAAUAAAGGAAAACAAAGCUGGUAGGUUAA